rnacentral:rRNA from 1 species
GAGUUUGAUCCUGGCUCAGGACGAACGCUAGCGGCGUGCCUAAGGUAUGCAAGUCGAACGGAUGGCUUCGGCCAUUAGUGGCGAACGGUCGAGUAACACGUAGACAACCUGCCGAUCAGUGGGGGAUAACUGCGGGAAACUGCAGCUAAUACCGCAUGUGGCCGGAAGCGGCAUCGCUUCCGUGCUAAAGGAGUAAUUCGCUGGUCGAUGGGUCUGCGGCCUAUCAGCUUGUUGCGGGUAACGCCCACCAAGGCGACGACGGGUAGCUGGUCUGAGAGGAUGAUCAGCCGGACGGGGACUGAGACACGGCCCGACUCCUUCGGGAGGCAGCAAUGAGGAAUAUUGCGCAAUGGGGGAAACCCUGACGCAGCGACGCCGCGUGGGUGAGGAAGUCUUUCGGGAUGUAAAACCCUUUUCUCGGGAAGAGCACGGACGGUACCCGAGGAAGAAGCCCCGGCUAACUACGUG